rnacentral:misc_RNA from 1 species
UACGUAGGGGGCAAACGUUGUCCGGAAUCAUUGGGCGUAAAGCGCGCGCAGGCGGUCCUUUAAGUCUGGUGUGAAAUCUUGCGGCUUAACCGCAAGCUUGCAUUGGAAACUGCGGGACUUGAGUACAGAAGAGGAGAGCGGAAUUCCACGUGUAGCGGUGAAAUGCGUAGAUAUGUGGAGGAACGCCAGUGGCGAAGGCGGUUCUCUGGUCUGUAACUGACGCUGAGGCGCGAAAGCGUGGGGAGCAAACAGG